CCUACGGGGUGCAGCAGUGGGGAAUAUUGGACAAUGGGCGAAAGCCUGAUCCAGCCAUGCCGCGUGUGUGAAGAAGGCCUUCGGGUUGUAAAGCACUUUCAGUGGGGAAGAAAGCCUUGGGGCUAAUACCCUCGAGGAAGGACAUCACCCACAGAAGAAGCACCGGCUAACUCCGUGCCAGCAGCCGCGGUAAUACGGAGGGUGCGAGCGUUAAUCGGAAUUACUGGGCGUAAAGCGCGCGUAGGCGGUCUGAUAAGCCGGUUGUGAAAGCCCCGGGCUCAACCUGGGAACGGCAUCCGGAACUGUCAGGCUUGAGUGAAGGAGAGGAAGGUAGAAUUCCCGGUGUAGCGGUGAAAUGCGUAGAGAUCGGGAGGAAUACCAGUGGCGAAGGCGGCCUUCUGGACUGACACUGACGCUGAGGUGCGAAAGCGUGGGUAGCAAACAGGAUUAGAUACCCGUGUAGUC
rnacentral:rRNA from 1 species